GCCCAAAUAAACAGUUAAAUUCUAACACGAAGUCUCCUGUCUUCGGCCACGUCACGACCCCGUGAGAGUAUAUUUAAAUUUUGACAGACCACUUUGCUGUCUGUGCAAUUUCAGGAAGUUUCGGAAGCAUCAGCUGGACAGCGAAGUAUCAAACAGAUGUGCCCUGACAAACUGUGCAGUGCUGACCACAUGGUGAGCCAAGCAUCCCAUGAGAGGGGUUUACUCAUCAUCUGUGGAUAACUCAAAGAAAGAACCUCCCGAAAGCAGUGCUACAAGGAUGUGAGCCACAAGUUCUUUUCAACGAACGGAUCAGAUGCCUGAGAGCCAUGGGCCGGCUGUUUCUGGCCUACACAGACAGUGCAGUCAGCACAGUAAAGUUCUUGCAAAGGUGUGAGACAUUCCUAUGUUGCAUAGAGUGAGCAUGUUAGUUGUCAGUUUUAUAGCUUAUAAGGACAUGUCUACAAAACUAAUUCCCUAAACAGUGUGUUUUACAUUCUCGCAAAGUGCAAUUAGACAGCUUUGGCUCUGUCUUUCUUUUUUAUCCCCUUCCAGACCAUCUUGAUAAUUCAUGCAGAGUGCUGCAGCAAUCGCAUUGUCUGAGUAUCACAGAAACUUCAUUUCAAAAAACAAUUAUGGUGGCCCUUUCAUGCCUGACCAGUGUAUAGGUACUCUUCGCUAGCGAAGUGAUGUGAUUUUGCACUGACAGUCGGUUGGUUCUCUCUGCAAUAUGAAAUAGUGUUUUGGCCUUACAAUUACGCCGUAUAGAUUAUCUGGAUGGGAGGCAUGCUGCAUAUCUCUUUAUCUCACCUAUGCCUUGUACAGUACUUCCACACCGUGCCGAUGUAGCACAGCGGCACAUCAACGAGGCCUUGCUUAGUUGAUGGCUGCAUGUUGAUUGCACAAUCACUGACGUCAUGCUUUGUUGCCAUGUGACUGUAGUCAUGAUGGUAACGUGUGCGUACCCCUCGUCACGAUGAGAACGAUGAAGAAGCCAAGUAAGAAACCUGAAACAGCUACACUGUGUGUUUUAUUGGCUGUGACUUCUUCACUUCAUCAUGUGAACAUGAAAUUUGUGGCAACGUGCUCACAUUUUACAAUUUGGCAGUUAUCAGAAAUUUUAGACAGUGGGGUUGUUUAGUAGCUUUUCACAUUUCAAUUAUGAAUGGUCCAUUGAUGCACUGCAUGGAUUUGUUGAUUUAUAUUUUGCAAUGCUCAUCUGUGAAAUAGUCUGCAGCUUCUGUCAAUAUCUAUGUGCUCAUUAUACGAGCCAUACUGUAUGUUCAAUAUGUAUCAUAACCAGCAAAAGUUUGCGGGACACGAAAUGUUCCAUGAAGCUAUAUUGUCACUUUGUCUAAGAAUGUAAUUUUGAAAGAAAUAUCUCAUACUGCACUUCGCAUUGCGACCUACGCAGUCGCGAGUCUAAUUACAAGUGUUAACUACCGACGUAGCGGAAAUUCGCAUUUGUUGUGGAUUCAACAUCUACCAAGCUACCAAGCUUUUCCUGUUGAUAGUACUUUCAUGGAUUUUUCAUGGCACUAGAGCCACCUCCUUUCUCCGGGUUUUGCAGCUACAUAGCUGGCAGUUAAUUGCUUUGCUGCUUUGUUUACCUAAUACCUAUUCAACCAAUGCAUCUAAAACGGUGUUUUGGGUGUACUUACAUCAUUAGGUGUUUAAUAUUUUACUAGUUGUGGAGCUUUUUUCGGUCUUUUGGCUUUUACUUUUUGGAAAUUAAUUACUGUUUUCAGAGCAAUCUGUAGACAUCAAUAUUGACUCUACUAAGCUUUGGUUCAGAAAGAAAAGCUGAACAGUUGCCGAGGUGCAUGGCCUGCGCCACAACAUUCUGGGUUACCAGAAAUAGAUUCUAGGCCGGAUAAUAUGUGGCUCCUUGCUAGUUGCGCGUCUUGCUUUUACUUGGAGCUUGUUUCAUUGUCAUAAAAUUUAUCUCACGUUGCUUACAGCUAUGCUACCUUGGGAACAACCCCCCCACUGAGUGGAUUUGAUCUUUAGAGCAGCAGUUGCACUUAAGAAGGAGGCAAAAAUCCCCUGAGGCCUAAGUGCUUUGAAUUGAAACUCACAUUCAGAACCCCAUUAUUAUUGUAACAUCAAGUGAAUAAAGUGGUAAUUCUAGAUUUUAUACAUAUUUCAAAUAAGAGAGAUGAGCUGCUCUGUAGGUUGGUAUUCACGUUAAAAGACAGGGCAUGCAAACAUGGACUCGAGAGAGUAGUCAAGACACCGCAAACACCAAGUGGAAAAGGUGACAUUAAGCUACAAACGAAACAAGGCAAGUGGAGAUAUCGAUCAAGAUGGCAUGCCUGUUGGUCUAUGUGAGAAAAACCGGUGUUUUGAUGCCAAAUGUAGGAAGAAGUUGUUCCAGCACUAUUUUUGGGGAAAACUUUCUAAUACAGCAGAGACCUUUCAAACCAUGUUUUCCGAAAUUGAGUUAUGGGAGAAAAAUAACUGCCACAGGAUUGUUGCCACAUGCUUUUACCACAGUCUUUGUUUCUUUGUCAGCAAAGUUUUAUGGCUAUGGUAUCGAAAUAAUUAUUGUUUGAAUUAGCGCUAAUGUUGGUCGCGAGGAAACAUGGCAAAAUGGUACUCGGCUGUUGACCCGCAGGUCCCGGGUUCAUAUCCCGGUAGUGGCGUCUGCAUUUCCGAUGGAGGCGGGAAUGUUGUAGGCCUGUGUGCUCAGAUUUGGGUACAGGUUAAAGAACUCUAGGUUGUCGAAAUUUCCGGAGCCCUUCUCUACGGCGUCUCUCAUAAUCAUAUGGUGGUUUUGGGACGUGAAACCCCACAUAUCAAUCAAAUCAAACAUAGAAAAACGAAGUGUUUUUCGUAUAUUAUUUACAAGAGUGAUUUUUUCUUGUCGAAUAAAAUAUACAUUGUUUGUUUAAAGGCAUUUCGCAAGAGUUGAAAAUACUUACUACUCUAAAAACUGAAGACGUCUUCACACAUUUUUACCCUGGGUUCUUUUGCUGAUAAGACAGUCGUUAAAGCAUAAACGUAAAGGGUGAGCAUUAAAUUGCGAAAAAAGCCUUACUGUUCAUAACCUAAAAUUCAAUCAAACACUACAUGACAGUUGUCAUGUUACGGCAGAAGUUAAGAUGAUGAUAGGGAGGAGGGGGGGUUGAAUGAGAGUCAAAUUGUUAGAGAAAGCUUGUGUUUGGAGCCAAUCAAGGUUUUUCAAGAUUAGGUUGUUUUGAAUGUUUGAACAUAAAUCGUUUAUGUAAGUCGUGGCAGUAACCUUGAUACGGUUUUCUGCUCUGGAAAAUAGAUGUCCUCUCAUCGAAUCACUCAUUUUUAGCAUCACGGACAUAGUGUUAUAAAACUGUUGAGCAGCCAGAUCCCUGCUAAAUGCCUUGUGCUCUGCAGCUUAUGUUUUUCACACAGUAUCAUUACAUUAGAAGCAAUUGUUAAAGUGGAGGAUUUGUAAUGCAUGUGUUGAGAUGUAUACCUGAUCAUAAAAAAUUAUUGAACGAAUGUUAGAGCUUGGUAUUCGGCAACAGAACCUUUCUUUACUGAAGCAGCAAACUGCGUCAAGGUUGCUGCCAUAACUUAGACCAAUUGUCUUAUUCAAACAUUGGCUCGAACAACACACUUAUUUAGCAAUAUGACACUCAUUCAAGCCCCCAUCUUCAUGUUAGCUCCUGCCCUAAUAAGAUGUACAAUUGUCAUGUAGUGUAUAUUGUAUUUAAAAAAUAUAUAUGCAAGCCUUGCUUCUUAAUCAAUUGCUCACCAUUUGUAUUGAUGCAUUAUUCAUUGUCUUCAACAGGCUAAUACCUCCUCCAUGAAGUUAUGAAUAAUGGACGUCUACCCAUCCAGAACUCUGUCACGCGCAGUGACAGAGUGCUGGACGGGUGGAGACAACGGAAAUGACAACGAAGUCCUGAUCCUCUUACCUCAACAGCUCCUGUUUCUUGCUCCAAGGGUGCCAUUACAAUAUGUUCACUGCCGCACGUAGGCCUUUGCAGUGGUCUACAAUAUGCUUUGUCCUGUGUAAAGUUGCAUAAUAUAAUGCAAACAUCUUAUGUUCACCCCACAUAACUCUUCCUGGUGUUAGUAGUUACAGAAAUUGUAACUGCCACACCAUGGCCCUAGUUAAACAGAAUUUGUUAUGAUAGUCUAUGAAUUCUUUUGCAGUUAAAAUAUAGUGUGUUUAACGUUGUUUUUUUGUCUACUAUAGCAAUAGGUCUUCAUAGCAUUCUUCUGCUUGUUCUGCAUGUGAUCAAUUCUUGUGCAGAAAUGCCGUCUGCUUUUGUGAUUCAUGAAAUAGUGGUGUGAACAGAGGUGAUGUAUGUAGUAGGCACCAUAGUGGUUUAAACUCUGCACAGUGCUGCUGCAACAAUAGUUAUUUUUUGUGCUUCCUUUUUAGACAUACAGAAAGGAGCCAAGUGGAGCUGUUCAUGGGCCAUGUAUACAGUUUUAUAAGCGGGCUUUCAGCACUUUUGACAAUUAUGUUUCUGAAUAAACCUGCCAAAGUUGUGUUUAAAAAA